rnacentral:tRNA from 1 species
GCAGACGUGGCAGAACGGGUAAUGCGGCAGUCUUGAAAAUUGCUGGUCGGAAACGGCCUGUGGGUUCAAAUCCUACCGUCUGCG